ensembl:lncRNA
AGGUAUACAUAUGAACAAGAACAAGAUGUGACCCUGUGAACGACUCCCCAAAGCUGGUGCUAGGAGCGCAGCGGUCCACCUUAACAAAGGGCUCUUAUACUUCAACAGAUACAGAGUAGGUGUCCUCCUAUACCAUAAAUCAGUAAGAGCAGGUACGACCUCUCUCAUGACCCUAAGAUGUGUGUGCAUGCCAGAACACUCUGGAAGGCACACAGAGUCUUUACAGACUGCUAAGGAUCAAACCUCUAUUAAUCUACAAACAUUUAUAUACUUCUAAGCAUAAAUGACAAUCCAACAAUAUAAACCUUACAAGAACCAACAGAAAGUAAAUGCAAAAAUAAAAACUCACUUUUUACGAAUACAGAAGUCACACCUAUGUAGAUGCAUCUGUGAAGAUGCAUUUAAACUUUCCUUGUUUUCCUCGUUCACUAGGUGGUUGUAAAGUGACGCCCAGUGCUCUACGUGGUCACCCUUCUGAUCCCAAGCUCUUUCCUCAUGCUCAUUGACAUCCUGUCCUUCUACCUGCCUCCCCAUAGCGUCGACCGCGCCUCCUUCAAAAUGACCCUCAUCCUGGGCUACACAGUCUUCCUGCUCAUCAUACGACCUGCUGCCGAGUACGGCAAAUGGCACUCGCAUCAUAGGUAUCUAUUUCUCACUGUGUCUUGCCCUCAUGGUUAUCAGUCUACUGGAAACAGUCAUCAUUACCAACGUCCUCCACCAUAACUCCUUGAAAUAUCGGGAGGUUCCAAAGUGGGUUAGGGUUGUUGUGCUCAAACGUAUAGCAAACCUCAUCUGCUACCGCUGGCCA